UGUGUUAGGAUGUCAUAUACUUCACAUAGAUAUGAUGAUAAAUUUAUUUAGUACAAAAAUAUGGUCUAGCUAACUUGUUUCAAUGAGGUUGGUUUUGUGAUGUGACAAUAUAUUACCCAACGCAAAGACAGGUUGGGUAACACGAGAAUGUCUUACGAAAUAAAGAGAUAACAGCACUAGAUAUAUACACGUGCACAGUCACAGUGACCACAGCGUWUUCAAGCUAGAAAAAUGAAUAAUAAAAGGACUUAUGCUGAAGUCGUUUCUGGCAAUGGUAAGUAAAUUGAUAUUACUUAAUAUAAUACAACUCAUUCGGCCGACUCAAUCUUCUUCCGACGAAAGUUUGGGUGCAAAGUGAGUAAUCAUUAUUAUACUCCGUUAUUCCCGUUAGUUGUAUUUUGUUUACUACUUUCAAAAUAUGCUGGUUUGUAAUCAACAUUUCCCACUAAAUACUAGUGUUCAAGCAAGUGUCCAUCUGASKUACAGAAAGAAGACAGGCCAAGGCAAGGUUAAAGGGAAGAUCUUUUGACGAGCAUUGAAUAAAAUGAUAAAAUCCUCUGCAGCUGGAAAUACGUCUGUUGUGAAGCCAAGGCACGUCGUUUCCUGCCCAGAUACUAUUGUCAUAUCGUCAAGCCCAGAAACUAGUCCACGAAAAGAGCCACGAGCUGCUGAAACGACAACAAUUGCCAUCCCGUCUAGCCCUGAAUGUAGUCCACAAAAGAGAGAAA